AGCGUGCCUGUGUGUGUUCGAAACUUUUAUUGUCAGCACAAACAGACACAAACUCACACACACACACACACACUAGCCCAUACACAUACACAGAGAGCCAUGCUUGAGCGAAGGAUAAAAUGCUGCAAAUUCACGGCAACAACAAGGAGAGCAGCAGCAGCAGUCUGAACGUGGCCCACGGUACGUAUACGUAUCCAUCAGAUAGAAAAGGCAUCGAGCAGCCGCAUGCUGAAAUAAUGAAGCAGCAAGGACUCGACUCGACUCAGCACAAGGCAAGGCAAGGCAAGGCAUGGCAUGGCAAGGAAAGGCACUGAUGGCAAGGAUGGCAACGAUGGCAGGCAAGGAUACGAGGAUAGCCAGGCAGAGGAAGACUUGGCCAGAAUGAAAACGAAAAUGGAAAAUGUGUACGGGUCUGUCUCGCAGUUGCCGCGUGUAUAUGUGUGCGGCUCUGUGAAAGGACGACAAGGAUAUUGCGCACGAGGACAGGAUGGCUGCCUGACUGCCUUGCCUUACCAUUCCGUUCCUUGCCUCGCCUUGGUGUUGAUGAUGAUUACAGAGAUGCGCAGAGAUAGAAGCGAGCUGAACUGAAGCUGAAUCUGAGGAUGUGUCCACACUGAGAGAAAUGCAGCAACUAGCCGUCGGAUAUUUUCGCAUACAUUAUUUUUAUUUCGUCGAGAACU
ensembl:ncRNA lncRNA:CR45641 long non-coding RNA:CR45641